AGCGAACGCUGGCGGCAGGCUUAACACAUGCAAGUCGAACGGGCACUUCGGUGCUAGUGGCAGACGGGUGAGUAACACGUGGGAACGUACCUUUCGGUUCGGAAUAAUUCAGGGAAACUUGGACUAAUACCGGAUACGCCCUUCGGGGGAAAGAUUUAUCGCUGAUAGAUCGGCCCGCGUCUGAUUAGCUAGUUGGUGAGGUAAUGGCUCACCAAGGCGACGAUCAGUAGCUGGUCUGAGAGGAUGAUCAGCUACAUUGGGACUGAGACACGGCCCAAACUCCUACGGGAGGCAGCAGUGGGGAAUAUUGGACAAUGGGCGCAAGCCUGAUCCAGCCAUGCCGCGUGAGUGAUGAAGGCCUUAGGGUUGUAAAGCUCUUUUGUCCGGGAAGAUAAUGACUGUACCGGAAGAAUAAGCCCCGGCUAACUUCGUGCCAGCCGCCGCUGUAAGAC
rnacentral:rRNA from 1 species